GGUUUUAUAGUCAAAUAAUGAUAUUAGAUUGCAAAUCUGAAGUUGAAUUUUUCUAAAACCU
rnacentral:tRNA from 1 species